AAGGAUAUAAAUUCAAUGAUUGUAACGCAUCUGUUCCAUUUUAAUAGAACGAUUUCUUUAACGUGUUUCUAUCACAAUUUACUUUUGUUAGAAACAAAUUAAUCGUCAAAGUGUUGAGAGAGAGAGAGAUCAAUCGUUUGAUUUUUUUUGGGAAAUAUCGAAACUUACUAUCGACAGGAUGAAAUCUUUCCGAACAAGUUUUUUCUCAAUUUUAUUCGUGAAUUUAGCAAUGACAGAAUAUGUUAAUAGUAAACCAUCUUUGGUAACGAUACCUCCAGCUUCAGGACGUGCUGAAAUAAGAGGAACACGUGUACAAAGUGAAACUACACCAAUUGUACCUUCAUAUGUAGGUGGUUACCCAUCUAUCAUAGUUACAAAACCUAUAGGAUGUAAUACAGGCGAAAAACGAGACGAAAAUGGCGUAUGUAGGCCAGAGAUAAAUUGAGAAAAAAAAAAACAAAAAAAGG